GAUUAAGUUAUUAAGGGCGCACGGUGGAUGCCUUGGCACUAGAAGCCGACGAAGGACGUUACUAACGACGAUAUGCUUUGGGUAGCUGUAAGUAAGCGUUGAUCCAGAGAUUUCCGAAUGGGGGAACCCAGCACGAGUUAUGUCGUGUUAUCGACAAGUGAAUUCAUAGCUUGUCAGAAGGCAGACCCGGAGAACUGAAACAUCUUAGUACCCGGAGGAAGAGAAAGAAAAAUCGAUUCCCUGAGUAGCGGCGAGCGAAACGGGAAGAGCCCAAACCAAUAAGCUUGCUUAUUGGGGUUGUAGGACACUCUAUACGGAGUUACAAAGGAAUAUAUUAGACGAAUCAUCUGGAAAGUUGAAUCAAAGAAGGUAAUAAUCCUGUAGUUGAAAAUAUAUUCUCUCUUGAGUGGAUCCUGAGUACGACGGAGCACGUGAAAUUCCGUCGGAAUCUGGGAGGACCAUCUCCUAAGGCUAAAUACUCUCUAGUGACCGAUAGUGAACCAGUACCGUGAGGGAAAGGUGAAAAGUACCCCGGAAGGGGAGUGAAAGAGAACUUGAAACCGUGUGCUUACAAGUAGUCAGAGCCCGUUAAUGGGUGAUGGCGUGCCUUUUGUAGAAUGAACCGGCGAGUUACGAUCUGAUGCAAGGUUAAGCAGGA
rnacentral:rRNA from 1 species